rnacentral:rRNA from 1 species
AACGCGAAGAACCUUACCUAGUCUUGACAUCCAGAGAACUUAGCAGAGAUGGUUUGGUGCCUUCGGGAACUGUGAGACAGGUGCUGCAUGGCUGUCGUCAGCUCGUGUUGUGAAAUGUUGGGUUAAGUCCCGCAACGAGCGCAACCCUUAUCCUUUGUUGCCAGCGGUUCGGCCGGGAACUCAAAGGAGACUGCCAGUGAUAAACUGGAGGAAGGUGGGGAUGACGUCAAGUCAUCAUGGCCCUUACGACCAGGGCUACACACGUGCUACAAUGGCAUAUACAAAGAGAAGCGACCUCGCGAGAGCAAGCGGACCUCAUAAAGUAUGUCGUAGUCCGGAUUGGAGUCUGCAACUCGACUCCAUGAAGUCGGA